rnacentral:misc_RNA from 1 species
UCCAGCUUAUCACCGGCAGUCCCCUUAGAGUCCCCGACAUUACUCGCUGGCAACUAGUCCCAAGGGUUGCGCUCGUUGCGGGACUUAACCCAACAUCUCACGACACGAGCUGACGACAGCCAUGCAGCACCUGUGCACGAGCUCCGAAGAGCCCCGCAGGUUUCCCCACGAGUUCCCGUGCAUGUCAAGCCCAGGUAAGGUUCUUCGCGUUGCGUCGAAUUAAACCACAUGCUCCACCGCUUGUGCGGGCCCCCGUCAAUUCCUUUGAGUUUCAGCCUUGCGGCCGUACUCCCCAGGCGGGGCACUUACUGCGUUAGCGACGACACUCAGAGGGUCGCUCCCCCAAGCAUCUAGUGCCCAUCGUUUACGGUGUGGACUAC